rnacentral:rRNA from 1 species
GAUGAACGCUGGCGGCGUGCCUAAUACAUGCAAGUCGAGCGAACGGACGAGGAGCUUGCUUCGCUGAUGUUAGCGGCGGACGGGAGAGUAACACGUGUAUAACCUACCUAUAAGACUGGUAAAACUUCGGGAAACCGUAGAUAAUAGCGGAUAAUAUUUUGCAGCACAUGGUUCAAAAGUGAGAGACGGUGGUUGGGGCACUUAUAGCGGCAUCCGCGCUUCAUUAGCUAGUUGUUAAGGUAACGGGUUACCAAGGCAACGAUGCAUGACCGACCUGACAGAGUGGUCGCCGACACUGGAACUGGGACACGGUCCAUACUCCUACGGGAGGCACCAGUAGGGAACCGUCCGCAGUGGGCGAAAGCCUGACGGAGCAAGGCCGCGCGUGUGAUGACGGUCUUCGGAUCGUAAUACUCUGUUAUUAGGGAAGAACAUAUGUGUAAGUAACUGUGGACAUCUUGACGGUACCUAAUCAGAAAGCCACGGCUAACUACGUG